CCUACGGGUGGCAGCAGUGGGGGAUAUUGCACAAUGGGGGGAACCCUGAUGCAGCGACGCCGCGUGGGUGAAGAAGCGCCUCGGCGCGUAACGCCCUGUCAGCAGGGAAGAAAAUGACGGUACCUGAAGAAGAAGCCCCGGCUAACUACGUGCCAGCAGCCGCGGUAAUACGUAGGGGGCAAGCGUUAUCCGGAUUUACUGGGUUUAAAGGGUGCGUAGGCGGAUUUUUAAGUCAGCGGUAAAAUGGCCGGGCUCAACCCGGGCCGGCCGUUGAAACUGGGGAUCUUGAGUGGGCGAGAAGUAUGCGGAAUGCGUGGGGGAGCGGUGAAAUGCAUAGAUAUCACGCAGAACUCCGAUUGCGAAGGCAGCAUACCGGCGCCCGACUGACGCUGAGGCACGAAAGCGUGGGGAUCGAACAGGAUUAGAUACCCGUGUAGUC
rnacentral:rRNA from 1 species